AUUGAACGCUGGCGGCAGGCCUAACACAUGCAAGUCGAGCGGAUGAGGGGUGCUUGCACCCCGAUUCAGCGGCGGCCGGGUGAGUAAUGCCUAGGAAUCUGCCCGAUAGUGGGGGACAACGUUUCGAAAGGAACGCUAAUACCGCAUACGUCCUACGGGAGAAAGUGGGGGCUCUUCGGACCUCACCCUAUCGGAUGAGCCUAGGUCGGAUUAGCUAGUUGGUGGGGUAAAGGCUGACCAAGGCGACGAUCCGUAACUGGUCUGAGAGGAUGAUCAGUCACACUGGAACUGAGACACGGUCCAGACUCCUACGGGAGGCAGCAGUGGGGAAUAUUGGACAAUGGGCGAAAGCCUGAUCCAGCCAUGCCGCGUGUGUGAAGAAGGUCUUCGGAUUGUAAAGCACUUUAAGUCGGGAGAAAGGGCUGUAGGUUAAUACCUUGCAGCCUUGACGUUACCGACAGAAUAAGCACCGGCUAACUUCGUGCCAGCAGCCGCAGUAACAC
rnacentral:rRNA from 1 species